rnacentral:rRNA from 1 species
GUCGAACGAUGAUGCCCAGCUUGCUGGGUGGAUUAGUGGCGAACGCGUGAGUAACACGUGAGUAACCUGCCCCUGACUCUGGGAUAAGCGUUGGAAACGACGUCUAAUACUGGAUAUGAUCACUGGCCGCAUGGUCUGGUGGUGGAAAGAUUUUUUGGUUGGGGAUGGACUCGCGGCCUAUCAGCUUGUUGGUGAGGUAAUGGCUCACCAAGGCGACGACGGGUAGCCGGCCUGAGAGGGUGACCGGCCACACUGGGACUGAGACACGGCCCAGACUCCUACGGGAGGCAGCAGUGGGGAAUAUUGCACAAUGGGCGAAAGCCUGAUGCAGCAACGCCGCGUGAGGGAUGACGGCCUUCGGGUUGUAAACCUCUUUUAGUAGGGAAGAAGCGAAAGUGACGGUACCUGCAGAAAAAGCACCGGCUAACUACGUGCCAGCAGCCGCGGUAAUACGUAGGGUGCAAGCGUUGUCCGGAAUUAUUGGGCGUAAAGAGCUCGUAGGCGGUUUGUCGCGUCUGCUGUGAAAUCCCGAGGCUCAACCUCGGGCUUGCAGUGGGUACGGGCAGACUAGAGUGCGGUAGGGGAGAUUGGAAUUCCUGGUGUAGCGGUGGAAUGCGCAGAUAUCAGGAGGAACACCGAUGGCGAAGGCAGAUCUCUGGGCCGUAACUGACGCUGAGGAGCGAAAGCAUGGGGAGCGAACAGGAUUAGAUACCCUGGUAGUCCAUGCCGUAAACGUUGGGCGCUAGAUGUAGGGACCUUUCCACGGUUUCUGUGUCGUAGCUAACGCAUUAAGCGCCCCGCCUGGGGAGUACGGCCGCAAGGCUAAAACUCAAAGGAAUUGACGGGGGCCCGCACAAGCGGCGGAGCAUGCGGAUUAAUUCGAUGCAACGCGAAGAACCUUACCAAGGCUUGACAUACACCGGAAACGGCCAGAGAUGGUCGCCCCCUUGUGGUCGGUGUACAGGUGGUGCAUGGUUGUCGUCAGCUCGUGUCGUGAGAUGUUGGGUUAAGUCCCGCAACGAGCGCAACCCUCGUUCUAUGUUGCCAGCGGGUUAUGCCGGGGACUCAUAGGAGACUGCCGGGGUCAACUCGGAGGAAGGUGGGGAUGACGUCAAAUCAUCAUGCCCCUUAUGUCUUGGGCUUCACGCAUGCUACAAUGGCCGGUACAAAGGGCUGCGAUACCGUAAGGUGGAGCGAAUCCCAAAAAGCCGGUCUCAGUUCGGAUUGAGGUCUGCAACUCGACCUCAUGAAGUCGGAGUCGCUAGUAAUCGCAGAUCAGCAACGCUGCGGUGAAUACGUUCCCGGGCCUUGUACACACCGCCCGUCAAGUCAUGAAAGUCGGUAACACCCGAAGCCGGUGGCCUAACCC